UACAGAGGGUGCGAGCGUUAAUCGGAAUUACUGGGCGUAAAGCGUGCGUAGACGGUUAUUUAAGUCGGGUGUGAAAGCCCCGGGCUCAACCUGGGAAUUGCAUUCGAGACUGAAUAGCUAGGGUACGGUAGAGGGAAGCGGAAUUUCCGGUGUAGCGGUGAAAUGCGUAGAUAUCGGAAGGAACAUCAAUGGCGAAAGCGGCUUCCUGGACCAGUACCGACGUUCAGGCACGAAAGCGUGGGGAGCAAACAGG
rnacentral:rRNA from 1 species